UGGGGGACAGAGUGACAGGUGGUGCAUGGUUGUCGUCAGGGGAGGCGUGAGAUGUUGGGUUAAGUCCCGCAACGAGCGCAAAACUUGAUCGGUAGUUGCCAGCAUUCAGUUGGGCACUCUAAGGUGACUGCCGGUGACAAACCGGAGGAAGGUGGGGAUGACGUCAAAUCAUCAUGCCCCUUAUGACCUGGGCUACACACGUGCUACAAUGGACAGAACAAAGGGCUGCGAGACCGCAAGGUUUAGCCAAUCCCACAAAUCUGUUCUCAGUUCGGAUCGCAGUCUGCAACUCGACUGCGUGAAGCUGGAAUCGCUAGUAAUCGCGGAUCAGCAUGCCGCGGUGAAUACGUUCCCGGGUCUUGUACACACCGAGA
rnacentral:rRNA from 1 species